rnacentral:rRNA from 1 species
CAGCAGCCGCGGUAAUACGUAGGGUGCAAGCGUUAAUCGGAAUUACUGGGCGUAAAGCGUGCGCAGGCGGUUUGUUAAGUCUGUUGUGAAAUCCCCGGGCUCAACCUGGGAAUGGCAAUGGAUACUGGCAAGCUAGAGUGUGUCAGAGGAUGGUGGAAUUCCCGGUGUAGCGGUGAAAUGCGUAGAGAUCGGGAGGAACAUCAGUGGCGAAGGCGGCCAUCUGGGACAACACUGACGCUGAGGCACGAAAGCGUGGGGAGCAAACAGGAUUAGAUACCCCAGUAGUCCCUGUCUCUUAUAA